rnacentral:lncRNA from 1 species
UUUUAAUUAGGAUGGAGAGAUAAUUGAUGAAUAAAUUUUACUGUUCUUUUUUCACAUUGUGCUUUUUUUCCCCUUUAAAGGGAUAAAUUAAAAGAAAAACCCAAGUUAGAAAACAUCCAAGAAGAAUUAACUGUGUUGUGUGUUUUGGGUAGGUCUAGAAGCUCCAUCAAAUAUCCUUGAGGGCAAAGUUACAGACUCUUCCAUAGAAAUUCUCUGGAAUCGAGCUGAUGGGAAUUUCCAGCAUUAUGAAGUAACAUGCAUAAGCUGUGCCGCUGCUUUCACGGUACGUUAUCCGGGCUCUGGGAGGAAUUCAUCUUGAAUCUUUCAUGCUGAAUCCAACAUUACUGCAUUCUCAUGUUAGAUAACAGUGAAAUUAAAUAACUCCAGACUUUUUUGCUUGUGUUCAAUUGUGGAAUAUUUCUUAAACAAACAGUUGCUAAUUUCUUCUUUCGGAUUGAUAGGUCCAGAAGGUAGUUCAAGAAACAGCAACGUUCUCCAACCUGGAUCCUGCCACAGUGUACACCUUUUCAAUUCGCACUGAAAAAGAAGGUUUUAAAGAUAGUACUCCUAACACAAAAGAAAUACAGACAGAUCCAGACCCACCAUCAAAUUUGCUGAUUUUUGGGCAGGAAGAAAACACAAUAUAUUUAUCUUGGAAACUCCCACAAGGAGGCUUUGAAAAGUUUCAGGUAAAGAAUAGCACUGCUAUCAUACAACCUUGAUGUUUAUUGAGGUCUUUGUUUCACUCAUUCUUUUUGUCUUUCAUUUUACUUUAAUGGUUUUAGAAAUUAUGGUACCAAUCCUUUAAUGUAAGAUUUUCCUCCAAAGCAGUUUUUCUAUUUACUGCUUUAAAAGUACAAAAUUGUCAUGGAAAGUGUUCGAACUUGAGUAAGAGCUGAUACUUGACUUUAAAUGAAUUUGCAUUUUCAAUAGAAAUAGAUAUUUGCAUACAUAGUACAAAAAAGUGAAUAAAGGAAUGAUGGUGUUGGAGGAUAAUGCUUCU